UGGAUAGUGAACUAUUUUUUUUAGAGUUCCAUAGGGACAUCCCUGGUCCGUUAGCAUUGCAUUUAGGAAUCAGACCAAGUGUUAAAGAGCGUUUACAGACCUGCUAGCACUAAUUUCAGGCACCCACGUAUAAGUUUAAGCAGAUUUUACAGACAACGGUACAAGCAAAUACUGAAAAAGACACCGCUGAAGCCAUUUCCGGCUUCUUGCACCUCGAUUUCAGAAUGAUGGUGGCUGCAGAUCAGCGAUCCACUUCAUGUCGAUCUCCUUCUGUCCAUGAAUUAGGCACUAGUAAGACAAACCCUCUCCAGCCUUGUCGCCAACCUCUCGAUCCUUGAUAGUGAGCUCUGGCCUUGUAGUUCAACUAAUUUGUCACGCAAAAGUUACAUUUUCACACCCCUUUGCAAAUCUAUGGAUAAAUACAUCAUAAGGUGGAAAUGGAAACAAAUUUAACGUUCCUGAUGGUGUUCUGUUUCGGAUGGCUGAAUAGUGGCAUUUCAGUUGUUAGGUACCCUUAGGCCUAGAUUGGUUGGAAACCACAUGGUAUCAUAUCUAGGUUGGUGUUAAAAGAGCUGAAUUAGGUCCACUUAGGCCUUGUUUAGUUCACCCUGAAAACCAAAAAGUUUUCAAGAUUCUCCGUCACAUCGAAUCUUAUGGCACAUGCAUGAAACAUUAAAUAUAGACGAAAACAAAAACUAAUUACACAGUUUAGCUGUAAAUCACGAAACGAAUCUUUUGAUCCUAGUUAGUCCAUGAUUGGAUAAUAUUUGUCACAAACAAACGAAAGUGCUACAGUACUGAAAACUUUUCACUUUUCGGAACUAAACAAGGCCUUAGAUGUUAGAUGCAUGUGGUUGCUAUUUUUACUGUGUGUCAGUGUUCAGUGAUCUCUGUACUGCAGGCUUGACGUUUUGAAUGAGGUCUGACAGGAGACAUCAACUCUAUGGUCACUGGGGAUGACACCUGAUUUUGUAGGUUUAAUUAGUGUUCUCAUAAGUGCUAGACAUACAACGACUGGUGCCUAAUCACUGCUUAGGUUGGCAGUGGGCUACAUGGUGGUUUGGUUCUAGGCUGGUGGCACCGGGGAUGACACCUGGUUUUGUAGGUUUAAUUAGUGAUCUCAUAAGUGCUAGACAUACACCGACUGGUGCCUAAUCACUGCUUAGGUGGGCUACAUGGUGGUUUGGUGCUGGGCUGGUUGCACACCCGCUGAGCGAGCCAUCCAAGGUAGAGGUCAUCCCCUCAAGCUGGCUCUUACUGCAGAAAGGAAAACCUAAUAUAAACAAUACGGCCAAGCAGAAAGCGUACAGCGCUGGUGGAUAUUGAGUUCACGGCUUAUUUUCGACCCUCAAACUUGGAUGUGUGAAACAAUUUCCAUGUUUUUCAUUGACUGUUCCGAAUGUCUGACAAUUUUAUGUGAGUAAUGCUGUAAGUGUUAAUACCUGAUCUGUACUUUUAAUUUCCUCAUUGCAAAUGCUUUAAUAUUACUAAUAUUUUUUUUAACCUUUUAUUCUCUACAUUUACUAUUCUUACUUGGUUUUAUGUCUAUCUUACAACUUUCUUGUGAUUAAAUGCUUUGUCGUUAUUGUUGUUCAACUUUCUUUAAUAAUGAGAAGUAUUAGUGUCAUAACAAUCAGUUCAAAUGCCUUUUGAUUUAUGCACUAUCUGCAAACCAAAUUGACCUUAAAGCUUCUGGGUAACUGACACUCCUGUCUGAUGAUUAUUCUCAGUGGAUGUUUGGUUAAGAAAUUUUUAAUCGUUUUACCAUGUUUGCCAUGAAACUAAUGAUCUCCAUGCACUAGCACAGAAGCUGCGAAACAUAAAUAUUGGUCAUUGAGAACGUGGAUAUCCAGAUUUUUACAAAAAAAAUUGGUUAAUUCUCAUUUUUGUUGAAACUCAAAAUCCUGGUUUUGUGGAAACCAGAGUUUUAUGUAUAUGCAUGUUGGUUGGAGUUUCCAAACAAAGCUUUUGUGGUUGUUAGGCUAAAUCCAGUUUUAGA
rnacentral:lncRNA from 1 species